rnacentral:rRNA from 1 species
UACGUAGGGUGCGAGCGUUGUCCGGAAUUAUUGGGCGUAAAGGGCUCGUAGGCGGUUUGUCGCGUCGGGAGUGAAAACUCAGGGCUUAACCCUGAGCCUGCUUCCGAUACGGGCAGACUAGAGGUAUGCAGGGGAGAACGGAGUUCCUGGUGUAGCGGUGAAAUGCGCAGAUAUCAGGAGGAACACCGGUGGCGAAGGCGGUUCUCUGGGCAUUACCUGACGCUGAGGAGCGAAAGUGUGGGGAGCGAACAGG